AAUAAGCUAAUUAAGAGCGUAAGGUGGAUGCCUUGGCUCUCAGAGGCGAUGAAGGACGUGAUAAGCUGCGAUAAGCUACGGGGAUUGGCACACACAAUUUGAUCCGUAGAUUUCCGAAUGGGGAAACCCACUAUAUUGAAGAUAUAGUAUCCGUUAAGGAAGCAAACCCAGGGAACUGAAACAUCUAAGUACCUGGAGGAAUAGAAAACAAAAGUGAUUCCGCUAGUAGUGGCGAGCGAACGCGGAACAGCCCAAACCAAAAUUGUUUCGGC
rnacentral:rRNA from 1 species